UACGGAAGGCAGCAGUGGGGAAUAUUGCACAAUGGGCGCAAGCCUGAUGCAGCCAUGCCGCGUGUAUGAAGAAGGCCUUCGGGUUGUAAAGUACUUUCAGUCGUGAGGAAGGUGUUAAGGUUAAUAACCUUAGCAAUUGACGUUAGCGACAGAAGAAGCACCGGCUAACUCCGUGCCAGCAGCCGCGGUAAUACGGAGGGUGCGAGCGUUAAUCGGAAUUACUGGGCGUAAAGGGCACGCAGGCGGUUAAUUAAGUUGGAUGUGAAAUCCCCGGGCUUAACCUGGGAAUGGCAUUCAAGACUGGUUAGCUAGAGUCUUGUAGAGGGGGUUAGAAUUCCAUGUGUAGCGGUGAAAUGCGUAGAGAUGUGGAGGAAUACCGGUGGCGAAGGCGGCCCCUGGACAAAGACUGACGCUCAUGUGCGAAAGCGUGGGGAGCAAAC
rnacentral:rRNA from 1 species